AUUGCUGUUAGAGCAGUGAUCCUCAUGCCUCUCAUUCUGAACACCUUGUUUGGAGAAGCAGCAGCUCAUUUGCAGCUUGAGAAGCCUUGUUCUGCAGUGCUGAUUUCUCUUUCAUAUUCCAAGAGCAAAGAUGAAGAAGCAGCCUAGUCUGUGCAUCUUGGCCUCUGUUGUGUUUCCAGUGUUAGAAGUUGGACCUUAGCUGGGGAGAUAAAAACCCUUAAAGCCGAAGCAAGGUGUAAAAUUUACAAAAAUCAGAGGAAAGCUAGAUGUGACAGUAAAGGGUUAGCUCAUCCUGAGAAAGAUGCUUGUGCCUUAAAGCUGGCUUCUCAGAGAACUUGGUAAUUCCGCAAGGUGUGCCACAUAGCACUGAAGUUGAAAGAUGCUCAUAAAAUCCAUGAAAGGGGUCUUGAUGUGGAUUGUGGCUUUAAAUGUGUUUAUAGUCGCAUGACUGUGUGGGACGUAAUGGAAAAUCAUUUAAAAUCACAUAAGCAGAUAGAAGAAAUCCACCGGUGCUUCAUCUGUGAAAGUGUUAUGUCACAAAGUGCCUGGAAAGCGUACAGAAACAGCCAUCGGAAGAAACCUCAUCUCUUUCAGCGCACAAUAUAUUAAUCAUCUUUUGAAACUGAGUGAGUAAGAAAUAUCAGUGUAGCUUGCCAGUAUCAGGAUAUGUUUAAAUGUCCACGCAAGUGAUUUCACCAAAACUAUGGCUUCUAAUACAGCUAAGGAAUGAAUCAAGGUCUACAAGCAUCUGUGCAGCCAUGAUUACAAGUUCAACUGCAUCCGUGUACUGAAUGUGAGAGAUGUUUUUUUCCAAGCGUCCUGUGACGUCUAGACCCUUUAGGGUCACUGGCUUCAGCUCCAUCCUAACAUUUAUUGUGUUGCUGGUGAUGUACUGACCACUGAACCACGCUGGAGAAGCUGGUGUACGCUGAAUGGAGGGUCAGAGAAGAGUUGAAAAAGCAUAUGGAAAAUCACAAAAACUUCUACACCCUUCUGUCUUCAUUUUGGGAUCAAGUAUUCAAAACCAGACGUCAGGUGAAUGAACAUCACAAAUCCAUCAAGAAAAAACAAAACAAAAUAUCAAAAAACAAAAUGAAGGAGAAGAAGAGAAGAAAGAAGGCUGAAGAUAAUCCUGUGUGCUCCAGCCCCAAAGCAACUAGAAAGAAGGAUUCCAGUUAAUUAACAUGCAGUAUCUACAGUAGGAAGUGUUCUUAUAGUUAGCUCUGCAGAAGCACAUGGGAACACAUGCUGGCAUCAAAGCCUUCCAUUGCCAGCUCUGCAAGUACGAAACCAGGCUCAAGGCCUCUCUGAUACAGCAGAUGCAAAUGCAUACAGGUGAAAAGGUUUUCAGAUGUGAGAUCUGCCCUUAUGCCUCCAUUGGUGCAAGCUUUCUGCAGCAGCACUUCUGAACAUGUGCUAGUGAGAGGCCCUACAAAUGUUGACUCUGUUCAUAUAGUUGCAUUCGGAAGAAGAGCUUGGAAUCACACUGGUGAGGCAUUUGACUGUAGUUUUUGCUGCUGUUCUUCCCGUGACAAGCAACUUCUCCAAAAAAACAUUAAGAAAUAUCAUCUGGGUUCAGGAACCUCAUUAACCAGUUCCCAGCCCACAUUUACCCUCAGAUCACUUCCUGUGGAACACUAGGUUCUUCAUGCUUAAACUGCCACCAGAGCAUCCUGGCAAAUAAAGAAGCUGUUGGCAUUGUCAGACUUUUCUGCUGAAAGACAGGGAUUAUCUGGAAAACGAGAAGAAACCAUCCUUAUGUGGUAGUUAGAAGCACUUAGAAUCAUCUUCCCAAAAAAGCUCUGUGUGCAUUACGAUACAGAUUGUGCCUCUGGUUUGCUGAGAGGCACACGAAGACUGGUGUGGCACAAAGGGUGGAUGUGUUGAUUUUUGUUCUGGUCACCUCUUGCUGAUAUAUUUCACUUACUUACAAAUGGAGAGUUUGACAUUUCAAGGUAGAAUCUGUUGAAAUGUCCAAAGCUGACAUUGAACCCUACAGGUCAUUUCUAUACUACAUCUCUCAUUUUUAAUACAGGUCUCUAUAUAAAAUAAUAAAUGAACAAGAAAAUCUACUGAUGCCAUAGCAGUCAUAAUGUGGUUAACUAAGUCUCUUCAUGGUUAUUUUUUAUAACAAAUCGUGUCUAUUAUCAAAAGCUAAUCCAGCGUUGAAGUAAAAAUAUAAACUAUUGAUAUAUGACAUCAAAUAAACUUGACUUGAAAAUUCAUUGGUUAAAUACAUCUGUACCUUAUUUAGCCAAAUAGAAAUUGCUUACUUUAAAAAAAGAUUAAAUUAGAAGAAUGGAAUACUUUCUAAAUUUAGGUUGUUAGAGGACUGGUUUUACUCUAAGACUCCACAUUUAUUCUUUGACUAUGGUGGUUUUGUGGAUUCUGUUGUUAGCUAUGAGUGUUACUCAGGAAAUGUAACUCUUGCUAAAAAUAAAAAACCUAACAUCACAACUUCCUACCAGACAGAAUCAAAUAGUGACUGAAGUGUGCCUACACUGCUCUCUUAAACACAAUUGUA